UACAGAGGUCUCAAGCGUUGUUCGGAAUUAUUGGGCGUAAAGCGCGUGUAGGCGGCUUUGCAAGUCGGGCGUGAAAUCCCACGGCUCAACCGUGGAAGUGCACUCGAAACUGGGUAGCUAGAGUCCUGGAGAGGAAGGUGGAAUGCUUGGUGUAGAGGUGAAAUUCGUAGAUAUCAAGCGGAACACCGGUGGCGAAGGCGGCCUUCUGGACAGUGACUGACGCUGAGACGCGAAAGCGUGGGGAGCAAACAGG
rnacentral:rRNA from 1 species